UAUUAUUAUUAUUAUUAUUAAGUUUACCAUUUCUCCAGUUUGAGUUUGUUUAGUAUUCCUAAUUUGUUAUUAAUCAGACUAGUUAAUAAAUUAUAUGCCCAUGUAUGUCUGUCUUCUAGGUAUUUUAUUAGAGGGAGUUUAUUCUGAUCUUAUUAUUGAGAAUUAAUAAAAUUAGAGAAUUUAAGUUAGUUACUAAUAAGACUAGUUGAUAAAUUAUAAAUAUACCUGUCUAGAUAUUUUAUUAGGGAGAAUUUAUUAUGAUAUUAUUGUUGACAAUUAAUAAAUUUUAAGAAUUAUCUUUUCUUUUCUUUAGUUGAGAAUUUGUUUCUCUAGCGAAUAUGUUUCUCUACCAAUUGAGAAUUUGUUUCUCACCCCAUUAUUCCCUUUGUUCCCCCUGUUAUACAUCAAUUUGGUAUCAGAGCUUGUCUCUCUUGCUUAGAGUGUUACAACCUUAGAGUGAUCCAUAAUGGCUGGUUCAUCUAGCAAUACUGCCGGUAUACCCGCACCACUAGCUGAAGGCUACUCAAUCACUAGACCACCACUCUUCAAUGGCACUAAUUAUUCAUUUUGGAAAGUAAGAAUGAGAAAUUUCAUAAAAUCUGUAGAUAUUAAUGCAUGAAAAAUUAUUAAAAAUGGUCCACAUGUUCCUCAAAAGAAUAGUCCAGGAACUACAAAAGUUCCAAAACAUGAAGAUGAAUAUGAUGACAAUGAUUGGAAGAAAAUCUCUAUAAAUGCUAAAGCUAUUAAUAUUUUGCAUUGCUCACUUGACCUUAAUGAAUACAAUCGUGUUUCAGGAUGUCAAUCUGCUAAGGAAAUUUGGGAUAAGCUUGAAGUGACUUAUGAAGGAACUGAUGUUGUUAAAGAGUCCAAAGCAAACCUUCUGAUUCGAGAUUAUGAGUUGUUUGAUAUGAGGCCAGGAGAAUCAAUUGCAGAUAUGAGUACAAGGUUUACCGAUCUUGUAAAUCUUCUCAAAGCACUUGGUAAAAGAUUUGAGGAAGCUGAACUUGUGAAGAAAAUUCUUAGAUCACUUCCAAAGUCUUGGGAAGCAAAGACAACAGUUAUCCAAGAUACCAAAGAUUUCAAAACAUUCACCUAUGAUGAACUCAUUGGUUCUCUCAUUGCACAUGAGAUGGUAUAUAAGAAAGAUGAAGUUGAAAAUGAGCAAAAGAAGAAGAAAAGCAUUGCUCUCAAGUCAAACAAGGAUGAAGAUAAGAAGAAAGGUGUUGCAUUUAAAGUUGACUCAAGUGACAACUCAAGUGCUUCAAGUGAUGAUGAUGAUGAAAUGGCUAUGCUUGCAAGAAAAUUCAAAAGAGCUUUCAAGAAGGGAGGAAGCAAAUACAAGAAAUUCUUGAAGAAGUAUACUCCCAAGGAUAAACAUUUCAAAGAUUCAAAAGAAGAAAUUGUAUGUUAUGAGUGUCACAAACCUGGACAUAUCAAGCCCAAAUGUCCAUUGCUCAAAAAGAAGAAAGGAAAAGAAGAUAGGAGCAAGAAAGCUAUGAAAGUAGUAUGGAGCAACAGUGAAGAAUCUUCAAAUGAUGAAUCAAGUGACAAAGAGGCUGCUCUUCUUUGUUUGAUGGCAUGUGAGGAGAAAGUUGAGAGCUCACAAAAAGAUGAAGAAAGCGACAAUGAGGUAAAUUCUUAUGAAUCUCCUAAUGUAGAAGAACUUGAACUUGCUUUUGUUAGAGUAUAUGAUGAGUAUAGAAAUUACAAGAGAAAGUGCACUAAAAUGAAUUUAGAAAUUGAAUCAUUGAGAUCACAAAAUAUUGCCAUGUCCAAUGUGUAUAAAGAAAAUGAAUUUUACAAAGGACAAAUUGCUUUGUUUAAAGAAUUAGACUUAGAGUUGAAAAUAUCAAAAGAAACAUGUGAGAUGCUCAUUGAGAAAAAUAAAGUUCUUGAAGCUAAAGUAGAGUCUUUGACAAAUGAUUUGGCAAAAUUUACAAAAGGAAAAGAAACUCUAGAUGUACUUCUUGGAAACCAAAGAAUUUCGCAUGAAAAAUAUGGAAUUGGUUUUGAUGGUUUCAUGAACUAUGACAAAUAUAAGAAUCAUUUCAUUAAAGCAUCUACAUCCUCCUUGCCUAAUGUUACAUGUUAUUAUUGCAAUAAAAGAGGUCAUAUGAUUAGCUCUUGUGCAUUUAGGAAAGGUCAUCUUAAGACAAAGAAGGUAUGGGUACCAAAGGGAACCUUACCUAAGGUCACUAACCCCCAAGGACCCAAAGUUGCUUGGGUACCUAAAGCUAAAUGAUUAAAUUUCAGGUUUGUUGCAAAGGAAUGAAGGAAAGUGAUAAAUGGUAUAUAGAUAGUGGUUGUUCAAAGCACAUGACUGGUGAAAAGGACAAGUUUUCAAAAAUCACAAUGAAAGAUGGAGGAUAUGUAAAAUUUGGAGAUAAAGGAAAAGGAAAAAUAAUUGGAAAUGGCACAAUUGGAACCAAACCUUGUAUUGAAGAUGUGUCGCUCGUUGAAGGACUGAAAUACAACUUGCUAAGUGUAAGCCAACUUUGUGAUAAAGGUUUUGAGGUAAAGUUUACUUCUUCUCUAUGUACAAUCAAUAACUUAGAUAAUGAUACAUUGUUCAUUGCCAAUAGAUCCAAUAAUGUUUACUUGCUUGACAUGAAUAAUUUUGAAACUAAUCAUGGUACAUGUCUAGUAUCUCUUGAUAACUCUAGUUAUUUGUGGCAUAGAAGACUAGGUCAUGCAAGCAUGCAUACACUCUCAAAAUUGUCUAAGAAAGAACUUGUUAAUGGUCUUCCUAAGAUUAAAUAUGAAAAUGAAUUUCAAUGUAGAGCAUGUGCACUAGGAAAGCAUACUAGAGCAUCUUUUAAAUCUAAGAAUAUUGUGUCUACCACUAGGCCAUUAGAAUUGCUUCAUCUUGAUUUGUUUGGACCUGUAACUCCUACUAGUCUAGGUGGAAAGUCAUAUACUUUAGUUAUUGUUGAUGACUAUUCAAGAUAUACAUGGACAUUUUUCCUUGCUCACAAAGAUGAAACUUUUGAAAAAUUCACCUCUUUUAGUAAAAUGGUUCAAAAUGAAAAAGGUUUUUGCAUCACAUCUAUAAGAAGUGAUCAUGGAACUGAAUUUGAAAUUCAUUUAUUUGAGAAAUAUUGUGAUAAACAUGGAAUUAACCAUAAUUUUUCAGCUCCUAGAACACCACAACAAAAUGGGGUAGUAGAAAGGAAAAAUAGGACUUUGCAAGAAAUGACUAGAACUAUGUUGAGUGAAAAUAAUUUGCCAAAGUACUUUUGGGCUGAAGCUGUUAAUACAUCUUGUUAUGUGUUGAAUAGAGUUUUGAUUAGACCAAUUUUGAAAAAGACCCCCUAUGAGCUUUGGAAAGGAAGAAAACCAAAUAUCUCAUAUUUCAAAGCAUUUGGUUGUAAGUGCUAUAUUUUAAAUAACAAGAAGGAUAACUUGAAAAAAUUUGAUGCCAAAUCCGAUGAAGGAAUCUUUCUUGGGUAUUCAACAAAGAGUAAAGCCUAUAGAGUGUUCAAUAGAAGAACUUUGGUUAUUGAGGAAACUAUUCAUGUUUUGUUUGAUGAGACUAACCCUUCUAUUAGAAGGAAAAAUGUUUUUUAUGAUAAUGAGCAGGUGUUUGAAAAAGAAAAUGUAAUAUCAAGUCAAGAAAUGGAACAAAUUGAUGACAAAGAUGAAGAAACUCAAGGAGAUACCACAAUAGACGUCCAUAAUGCCAACAAUGAUCAAAUCAAUGAAGAAAUACCAAAUUUAGAAGAAUUACAAGUGAAUGAGCCCCAACAUGAAAAUUUACCUAAAGAAUGGAGAUUUCGUAGAAAUCACUCCCAAGAAGACAUCAUUGAUGAUCCAUUUCAAAGGAUGAUGACUAGAGCACAAUUGAGAAAAUAUUUUGAUAAUGUUGCAUUUGUUUCACAAAUUGAACCUAAA
rnacentral:misc_RNA from 1 species